AUGAAAGCUUUAAGAGGCAUCAAUGGUUGCUGGUCUGAACUGGUUUCUGCUGCCAAAUAUCAGUCUCUCUCUACUCAAACUGCAGUGAGGAGUGAUGAGAUCCGACUGGACCAGCCUCCUACAGAGGUCAAGAAACCUGGAGAACGUCUGAAGAUCUCCUGUAAAAUUACUGGUUUUGAUAUGACAAGCCACUACAUGCACUGGAUCCUGCAGAAACCAGGAAAAGCUCUGGAAUGGAUCGGCAGGAUGGAUGCUGGCAGCAAUGCUGCAAUCUAUGCAGAAUCAAUGGAAGCCCGGUUCAAGCUGAGUGAAGAUGUUCAAGCAAGUACACAGUACCUAGAGAUCCAGAGUCUGAGAGCAGAAGAUACUGCAGUUUAUUACUGCGCCAGAGAAAGCACAGUGCCUGGAACUGAAGAAGCAGCUGUACAAAAACAUCCCACUGUAUCACUCAACACACUGAAACCUCCUCUACUGUCAUUCCUGCUUUUAUUCAAUGUUUAAUUCUGCUUUUACUUUAGACAAACAUAUGUUGGGUUAAUUUAUUGUUUAUUAGUUAAUGCAAACCAAUUACUAAUUCAUUCUAAUCCUAGAUAUUGUUCUGCACAUGACUUCAGUCCAUAGCAUUUUAGGAUUUUACAUACAUUAUACAUUUGUACUAGUACAGAUAUCACACGUAAUACUACAAAUUCUCCAAGUUUUAUAUAAACUUUACUUUUAUUUUUAUGUAAAUAUUAUUCCAGCAGUACAAAGUGAGAAGAUUCAAUAAAAGUAGCAAAAACA